rnacentral:pre_miRNA from 1 species
CUGGUACUCCCUCCGUCCGGAAAUACUUGUCAUCAAAAUGGAUAAAAGGGGAUGUAUCUAGAACUAAAAUAUGUCUAGAUACAUCCCCUUUUAUCCAUUUUGAUGACAAGUAUUUCCGGACGGAGAGAGUAGUUG